rnacentral:rRNA from 1 species
AGCAGUCGCCGCGGUAAUACGUAGGUGGCAAGCGUUGUCCGGAAUUAUUGGGCGUAAAGCGAGCGCAGGCGGUUAGAUAAGUCUGAAGUUAAAGGCUGUGGCUUAACCAUAGUACGCUUUGGAAACUGUUUAACUUGAGUGCAGAAGGGGAGAGUGGAAUUCCAUGUGUAGCGGUGAAAUGCGUAGAUAUAUGGAGGAACACCGGUGGCGAAAGCGGCUCUCUGGUCUGUAACUGACGCUGAGGCUCGAAAGCGUGGGGAGCGAACAGGAUUAGAUACCCCUGUAGUCCCUGUCUCUUAUACA